UGUUGAGCUUUCAGAGGACGACGAUGCUUUGGAGUCCAAUUGACUAAUUUCCCGAGCUAAAGCUGCAAUUAAAGAUUCGUAGGUAGAGCGGAUUUCAGAUGUACGGUUAUUCGCUUCUUCAUGUUCCGCGUAGCGAACGUGUAAAACAAAAUUUGAAGGACAAUAACGCAUUCCGCGACGAAUAGUUUGAAGAGCACGCUGUUCAUCCGAAAUGCUCAAAAAGUAAGAAAAUCCAUCGAGCCAUAUCUGCGGACAAAGGGGAACAUACAACAUCGCUUGCUCAAAGGCAUAAGCAAUUCGAUUCUGUAACAUCGUGCCAUGUUGUAAAUCUAAUGGAUCACUUUGUUCCCAUUUAAUCCAGUUCAUCCAACGGGAAUACGCUAUUCUUUCAACUUUUGUAUACUUACGUUCAAAGGUAAAAUCGUAAACUCUGAGUCCUUCUGUAAGGUUUGAAAGUUCCCUCAUUGCUGCCCGCGCCGCCAUAUAAACAGGAGACUUCUCAGCUACAAAUUUUCUGGCCGUUGCUCUGUUUACACUAUUUUCG